rnacentral:rRNA from 1 species
GACAGGGGUCUCGAGCGUUAAUCGGAAUUACUGGGCUUAAAGGGUGCGUAGGCGGGCCUGCAAGUGCUUUGUGAAAUCCCCCGGCUCAACCGGGGAACUGCGGGGCAUACUGCGGGCCUUGAGGAAGGUAGGCGCCGAGGGAACAGUAGGUGGAGCGGUGAAAUGCGUAGAUAUCUACUGGAACGCCGAUGGUGAAGACGCUCGGCUGGGCCUUUCCUGACGCUGAGGCACGAAAGCGUGGGGAGCAAACAGG